GAGUGCCAAAGUCUCUUAUACUGAUAAACGAUGGAUGUAGCACUAUUAAAUCUACUGCUGUUUUAGUUGAAGGAAAACAGAAAGAAGGUUAGAGCAGCAGUUAGAGGAAGGCCGGCUCUUUGUUCCAAAAUGCUGUCUGUUGUCCUUUCCUUACUGCCUUAGAUUCUAUCAACUGGCUCACAUUCCAGACUGCAUUCUGAUGUAAAUGGAGGAUAGGAGAUCACACUUUUAUUCCUGUCUUUCAGAGAGUGUCCAUCCUGCUGAUGGGCAGAGAGAAUCUUGUACCCAUUUACCCUUCCCUCAACUACAGCUAUGUUUGAGAAUAUCCACAAUCUGAGGGAUCUCAACCAAUCUCACUGUACAUAUGUUGUGAAGUGACAAUAAAGGUUGUUGUUGUU